rnacentral:tRNA from 1 species
CCAAAGUGCAAAUUUGGAAACGCACCCUGAAAGGUGCCGGGGCUUCUCCCC